rnacentral:lncRNA from 1 species
GGUGCCACAGCCUCUAGGUCGUCGACGGUGGAAACGGCACGACUGACGCUGGAAGAGACUCGAAGAAUGACCGGUGGGAAGAGACGCAAAGUUGAUCGGUGGGAAGACACGCGAAGAUGAUCGGAGCUUGUGGGUGGUCCUCCGGUGCCGGUUAAACGGCGGUGAACGACGGUGUGGCAACGUCACGGAGCUUUGAUGGUUGGGAGGGAGGGAGACUUUCUCUCUCUAGGGUUUGGUCCAAAAUCUGAAAUUUGAAAAUGAAAUGUGAAUUCAAAAUGUUACAUUGCCCUCUCUGUCAGACACUAAUCCACAUCAUUUUAAAUUUUUUUUAUUUCAUUUAAAGCUGACCAAUCAGAGCGUGACAUGUCAUUGGUGUCAAAAAUUUGUCAUGAAGAGGUU